rnacentral:rRNA from 1 species
GCGCUUGAGCGGUGGUUAAUUGCGCCGUCUUGGAGUCGGGUUGUUUGGGAUCGCAGCCCWAAGUAGGUGGUAAACUUCAUCUAAGACUAAAUAUGCCUACGAGACCGAUAGCGAACAAGUACCGUGAGGGAAAGUUGAAAAGCACUUUGAAGAGAGAGUUAAAGAGGACGUGAAACCGGUAGGAUGGAAACGGAUAGAGCCAGCGUACUCGCUUGUAUUCAGCCAAAUGCUCGUGGUCGCCGGUCGUCGUGCUGUUAAUAGCGCUCGGCGGUCGUYCGUYUGCGAGUUGAGGUGCAUUUGCGGGCGUUUGCGCCGAGACUUGUGGGGCAGCAUCGGGACCCGCUGACUAGARGSCRUUCUUUGGACSGAACUUGGUUGCGGCGACGGUUGUUUGCUCRGCUCGUAAAUGGUACGGCGUACGGAGCUUGGCUGCGUCGUGGUUUCUUUGCGGUGGUAUCGCAUGCGAUGCCUAGCAUUGGGGCUGCGAUUCGGUCGAGUUUUCUCGUGCYUGCUCUCGGUGUAAAAGCUGGUCAUCUCUCUGACCCGUCUUG